rnacentral:lncRNA from 1 species
UUUUUUUGUCAGUAUAAUCAAACUCAUUUCCAUUUUUACUUGGAUAAAGUAAGUUUUUGAUGUGCUGUACUAUUUUUAAUGGAAAAUGUUCAAUGUUGUUCUACGCUUUACACGUUAAAAAGUAUUAUUAUAAUAUCUAUUAAACGUUUCUCUGUGCUGAGAGUGUUCAUGAGUUUGUUUGUUCUGUAUUCCUGUCACUUUUUAUUUUCCUUAUGAUAAUUUUUUAACAUUG